GCAGAAUUUGAGGAUGCCAAUUUGAAAGAGAAGCACGAUCUCCAGUCAUUGUUCUUAAGUUGGGGUGGAAGUGUUAGUGAAAACAGUAUAGACACUGUGUACGAUCCAAACUCAUUGCAACGUCUACAGCCUCAUGCAAAUCUUAAGAUGUUGGGCAUGCAUGCAUAUGGAGGUCUGGAGUUCCCAAACUGGUUUUCUUCCCUUACAAAUCUAGUCUCUAUUGAGAUUGCAGAUUGCAGUAGAUGUCAGCAUCUCCCAUUGUUGGAUCAAAUCCCUUCUCUUAAAAAUUUAUGGCUUCAUAAUUUGACCGACAUAGAGUAUAUAGAUGGUGGUAACAAUCAUUUUCAUGGUGGAGGAGUAAGAGGAGCAACAUUCUUCCCAUGCCUGAAGACGCUUAGUCUACUGAAUUGUCCUAAUCUGAAGGGAUGGAAUAAGCAGGUGGAUGAUGAUUCAACAACUACAACAGUAGCAAAACUGCCGUGGUUUCCUUGUCUUUCUUUGUUAGAAAUA
rnacentral:misc_RNA from 1 species